CAUGAUGCACAUACACAUGUAUAUACUGAUGACGGUCAGAGCAGAUAGUAAACAGUUCUCGUGAGCAAUACCUUGUGUUAUUAUUCUGAUUUUUAAUUAAAAAAUAAUGCCAAUUAAUGGACUCCACCGUCGAGAUUCCUCGGGGGAUUCCGGCUCUGAAUCAGAAAGUGGUUCCGCCUCGUCAACAUCUUCUCGCAGUGGUUCCCCAGCAUCUCAUGCCCCAGUUCCUACCCCAGGGAACCCCAGAAACGAUCGCUCAGACGGUGAAGAUGGCCCACAGUCCCCUGGGUCCCAACGAGUGAGUAGAAGUCGUUCCAGAAGUACUCACAGAUCAGCCCCAAGUGCUGGAGGUUCCCCAGCUCGAUCAGGCUCCCGACACUCAAGCCCUGGCUCCCCCAAGAGCAACCAAUCAGGUUCACGAAGAUCAAGAUCUCGAAGUGCCUCAGGCUCUCGCCGAUCAGCAUCCCCAGCUGGUAGUGCAAGAUCCGAGAGCCCUAAAUCCCCUGGAAGCCAGCGAUCGAAUCAUUCAAAUCGUUCUAGAUCUAGAUCCGGCAGUCGUAAGUCAAACGCAUCGGGCUCUCCAAGGAGCAGACGAUCAGGUAGCCAGAGAUCUAAUGCAUCAGGAUCCCCAAGAAGCAGAAGAUCGGCAAGUCCUUCAUCCGUAAAAAGUAAACGUUCAGGGAGUCAUGUGUCGCGAACUAGCAGACGAUCGGAAUCUCCAGGAUCUCCCAAGACCGGACGCUCACGUAGCGGAAGCCCUGAGAGUGGAAGAUCACGUAGUGGUUCUCCAAAAAGUGGAAGAUCCAAAUCAAGAUCUAAAUCAAAGUCUAAAUCCAGAUCUAAAUCAAGAUCCAAAUCCGUAUCUAAAUCUAGAUCUAGAUCUAGAUCAAAAUCCCCAUCAAAAUCACGAUCUGCAAGUCCAAGAAGUGGGAACCGAUCGCCUGAGAGUGGAAGAGCAACAAGUCCCAAGAGCAAAGGUGGAAGUGAUAAUGAGAGUGAUGUUGAGCAGGGGAAGAGAAAACGAGAGGGCAGUGGAUCGGGUUCUGACACUGAAAAGGUAACUCCGAAGAAGCAGAGACCACUUAUUGAUUCAGAUUCGGAUGAGGAGGAGCAGCCGAAAGACCCCGAGCCAACAGCUGAUGCGUUAUUCGGUGAUGCCAGUGACAUCAGCACUGAUGAUGAGAAAGAGAAGGAGGACGAGCGAGAGGAAGAGAGUGAGAAGAGGAAGAGCAGGAGCAGGAGUCGAAGUAGGAGCAAGAGCAGAAGUAAGAGUAGAAGUAGGUCCAGGAGCCGAAGUCGCAGUCGUGGGCGUUCUGAAAGUGGUGGAGAGGGUCCAACUCAGGGGGACAAUGAGGAAAAAGAGAAGGAGGAUGAGCCUGAACCCCCUCCAGAGACCAGGAUUGACGUGGAGAUUCCGAAGAUAACAACUGAUCUUGGGAGGGAAAUUCAUUUUGUUAAACUACCUAACUUCUUGUCCGUGGAGACGAGACCUUUCGACCAUGAGACGUAUGAGGAUGAGAUUGAUGAGGAGGAGACGUUGGACGAGGAGGGAAGGGCCAGGUUAAAGCUCAAGGUCGAAAAUACCAUCAGGUGGAAGGACGUCUUCGGAGAUGAUGGAAAAAUGAGGAAGGAGAGUAAUGCGAGGUUCGUCAGGUGGUCUGAUGGGAGCAUGUCCCUUCAUCUGGGCUCUGAGAUAUUUGAUGUUUACAAGCAGCCACUCCAGGGGGAUCACAACCACCUUUAUAUUAGACAAGGGACUGGACUCCAGGGCCAGGCAGUAUUCAGGACAAAAUUGACAUUCAGACCGCAUUCCACUGAGUCGUUCACUCACAGGAAGAUGACGAUGUCACUCGCCGAUAGGUCUCAGAAGACGUCGGGCAUCAAGGUUCUAUCGCAAGUAGGAAUGAACCCUGAUCAGAAUCGAUACGAAAUGAUUAAGAAGGAGGAGGAGAAGCUUAGAGUCGCCAUGAGAGCCCAGAGCAAGACCAAGAAGUCCAGUGGAAGUGGACGAAACUCGACGAGGGCUUCUGGAAGUUAUGGGGCUGACGCUUAUCACGAUGAUGGAUCAGAUGACGAGGGGGCUAUUUCACUUGCUGCUAUCAAGAGCAAAUACAAAAAAGGAGCCCCAUCUAAAGAAAAAGAAAAGAUUUACUCUUCCGAUGAGGAAGACUCUGACUUUGAAACAACGAGACCUAAGAAAAACUUCAAAGGGAAAGUAUUAAAGGACUCAGACGAGGAGUCAAAUGCCGCAUCUGACAGUGCCUCAGGGAGUGGUGGCGAGGAUGCUGCUGCUGGAGGGAGUGAUUAAUUCCUUAUCUUCGAGAGCCGACAAAGUUCCCGACCCUGACCCCCCUGGCACACGUUUCGAUUCGAUCUUGUGAACCAAGGAACAACAGCCACGAGAAUUAAUCCCGCAAGAGGUGCACAGCCCACGAUCAGCAAACGGUACAACUGAGAGAGAAAAUUCACAACGAAUAUCGUGGCUGAAGAACUUACGAAGCCAGGUCUCAGAUGAAAGAUUCGUGCGGUCAGAGAGUCUACAUGUUACCAGGGGUUCAAUAAAAUAAGUGAAAAAAAAAGGGGGAGAUUCGAGAGGGGAAAAAAAGAAUUCAAGUCAAGUCAUCGAACAGCAGGCCAGCGUCUUUGGAAUUAUGAACGAGAGGCUCUGUGUACAAGUGGACUAUAUUGACGUGUAAAUAGAAUGAUGACAUGUUAACAUUAAACGAGUGAUAACUAUUCCCACUGAGAAUUGCAACAGCAGACCCGAGAAUCCGUGAGGAUGAAGCGAUUCGCACUUUAGACGAGAUUGACCUCGUAUGACCUCGUUUGAGACGAAUGGUAUAAGUGUAACUCGCUCUGCGGAUGGUGACCAACAACGAGGAUGUCACGGGUCAAUCGAAACGACGCCGGCAGCCCAAUGAGUACCCAUGACAGCGCUGGAAUGCGCUCCACUUUAAUUUUUAUACCCUUCUGGUCUCCCUCUCAAUUUCCCUGUAAUCGGGUUCUCUCAUCUCUGUGUUAAGGACGAGUUUAUGUAUGUAAACAGGGGUUAAAGAGCUGAAAGAUGAGGAAUACGAGAGGGCAUUCAUGAGGGCUCUCUGGCUCACCUUAAUAUUCAGUCACGAAAAAAUAAUUUUCAAGGAUUUUGCAAUUUUUUAGCUGAUGGACAAGAAGAAUAGUCCCAAUUCCAUGACUAUGGUUUUGGAUAAAUGACGUAUUAUGUACUAAACGACUGACAUUCAUACUGAGAAAUGAUCAAUAUAAAAACAAUUUUAAAGGGUAUAUGUCUCACCUCAAAAGUCAUUCAUGACGAAGUGUUUCCUCGAUGUGUGUCAUUUUUUGAACUGUAGGACCUCUAAAAU